rnacentral:rRNA from 1 species
UCCAACCUGCCGAUGACUCGGGGAUAGCCUUUCGAAAGAAAGAUUAAUACCCGAUGGCAUAGUUCUUCCGCAUGGUGGAACUAUUAAAGAAUUUCGGUCAUCGAUGGGGAUGCGUUCCAUUAGGUUGUUGGCGGGGUAACGGCCCACCAAGCCUUCGAUGGAUAGGGGUUCUGAGAGGAAGGUCCCCCACAUUGGAACUGAGACACGGUCCAAACUCCUACGGGAGGCAGCAGUGAGGAAUAUUGGUCAAUGGACGAGAGUCUGAACCAGCCAAGUAGCGUGAAGGAUGACUGCCCUAUGGGUUGUAAACUUCUUUUAUACGGGAAUAAAGUGAGGCACGUGUGCCUUUUUGUAUGUACCGUAUGAAUAAGGAUCGGCUAACUCCGUGCCAGCAGCCGCGGUAAUACGGAGGAUCCGAGCGUUAUCCGGAUUUAUUGGGUUUAAAGGGAGCGUAGGCGGACGCUUAAGUCAGUUGUGAAAGUUUGCGGCUCAACCGUAAAAUUGCAGUUGAUACUGGGUGUCUUGAGUACAGUAGAGGCAGGCGGAAUUCGUGGUGUAGCGGUGAAAUGCUUAGAUAUCACGAAGAACUCCGAUUGCGAAGGCAGCUUGCUGGACUGUAACUGACGCUGAUGCUCGAAAGUGUGGGUAUCAAACAGGAUUAGAUACCCUGGUAGUCCACACAGUAAACGAUGAAUACUCGCUGUUUGCGAUAUACAGUAAGCGGCCAAGCGAAAGCGUUAAGUAUUCCACCUGGGGAGUAC